rnacentral:rRNA from 1 species
AGUGAACGCUGGCGGUAGGCCUAACACAUGCAAGUCGAACGGCAGCACAGUAAGAGCUUGCUCUUACGGGUGGCGAGUGGCGGACGGGUGAGGAAUACAUCGGAAUCUACUUUUUCGUGGGGGAUAACGUAGGGAAACUUACGCUGAUACCGCAUACGACCUACGGGUGAAAGCAGGGGAUCUUCGGAUCUUGCGCGAUUGAAUGAGCCGAUGUCGGAUUAGCUAGUUGGCGGGGUAAAGGCCCACCAAGGCGACGAUCCGUAGCUGGUCUGAGAGGAUGAUCAGCCACACUGGAACUGAGACACGGUCCAGACUCCUACGGGAGGCAGCAGUGGGGAAUAUUGGACAAUGGGCGCAAGCCUGAUCCAGCCAUACCGCGUGGGUGAAGAAGGCCUUCGGGUUGUAAAGCCCUUUUGUUGGGAAAGAAAAGCAGCAGGUUAAUACCCCGCUGUUCUGACGGUACCCAAAGAAUAAGCACCGGCUAACUUCGUG